CUCAUCUCAAUCUCUCCUCUCUGACUCUCUCGGUCACACUCCUAGCGCUCCUUGACGGCCGUCGCCUCCCCCCACGACCUCAUCGCCCCGGCUGCUAGCGCCUGUCACGCUCGGCCCCGGUGGCCGCCUCGGCUCGCCGCGCCCUCCCCCAAGCAGAUGCCGGCCGGCGCGUCCCCUGGAGCAGCUCCUGGAGGAGGCCUGCGCUAGUCUUUCUAGAGCAGCUCGCCGACCUCGCCACUCGCGGGAAACUGAGAGCGGGUGGAAGAAGGCUACAGGCCCUUAUGAACAGUUCGUGCGCUGGUGGUUCUUUUUUUAUUUGGGAGGAACUGGAGGCGCAUUUAUCGAGAAGACCACGACCCGAGGCUUCCAGCCUGCGGAGGGGAGCUACACUGUUGAUAAACAGUAGUACAGACUGAUAAUAUUUAAAUAAAGCUCUGUUUAGGUCUUUAUA